CACACCCCACCCACCCCCGAUCUAGAUCCCCUCCACCUCCUGUCUUCUCCAUAGCUUGCUAGGUUCCCCGAAUCGAGAGGAAAUCAACAUGCAUCGGCUGGGAGAGGAGCUUGGCGACGGAGAAGAGGGAGCGGACCUCGGUGGCGGGAGACCGGCUGUUCGUGUGGGCGCAGAUCUCAUUGGCGGAGUCCGGCAGAUCGCGAGGGCCUGGAUCUUGAGAUUUGGAGGAAUCAUCAACAUUGCACCGCCAACCUAGAAUAGCAGCAGCCAGUCAAUAGAAUUUGUUGCUUUAACAACUUCCGAAGGAGUUCCCUCUUGGUAUGGUGACCAAGCAGGAGAGAUAACACAGGACUACCUCCACACCACCGGAAACGCUCUUCAACCAUCGGAAACGCUCUUCAAGCAGGAGAGAUAACACAGUACUACCAUAGCCCGGUGGGUGUUGUGCUCUUCAACCAUUUGGAGACGGACUUCGCCAUGAAGCCUGAAGGCUGCGUCGCGCAGAUGAUCGUCUAGGAGGAUUCGGGUCCAUUGGCGUUUGAACACCGAGGCUUGGUAGAUACAUCUAGAGAAAUGGUGUGGUUGUUUGCCUCUGAUGUUAAAUGGGAUCUCAUGAUAUCUUCGAGUUGAGAUGUUCAAUGUUGCAUCCAUGAACACUACAAGUGCUAAGAUUGUUCUUUGACCAUAGUCCUUCGUUUAUUUUGCAUUGGACCUGUCUUGAUUUCCAUCCAUGAAUACUGCAUCUAAAU